AACGCGAAGAACCUUACCUGGGCUUGACAUCUAUUUGCAACACUCUGAAAGGGGUGCCUCCUUCGGGACAGAUAGACAGAUGCUGCAUGGCUGUCGUCAGCUCGUGUCGUGAGAUGUUGGGUUAAGUCCCGCAACGAGCGCAACCCUUGUCCUUAGUUGCAUAUCUAAGGAGACUGCCGGUACAAAACCGGAGGAAGGUGGGGAUGACGUCAAGUCAGCAUGGCUCUUACGUCCAGGGCUACACACACGCUACAAUGGACAGUACAAUGAGACGCCACCGAGCGAUCGGGAGCGGACCUCGUAAAGCUGUCCUCAGUUCAGAUUGCACUCUGCAACUCGAGUGCAUGAAGGUGGAGUUGCUAGUAACCGCGUGUCAGCAUAGCGCGGUGAAUAUGUUCCCGGGUCUUGUACACACCG
rnacentral:rRNA from 1 species